GCCACAGUCAGGCUCCGAGGUGCCCGCAUCAUGCGGGAGAAUUGGGAAGCCGGUGAAACUCCGGCGCUGCCCCCGCAACGGUAAGGAUGGGGGAUGCGGCACAAGGCCACUGGACGCGUGAACAGGUCCGGGAAGGCGCUGCAUCCGAUCCCGCCAAGCCCGGAAACCAGCCUUGGACAAACGUCAAGC
rnacentral:ncRNA from 1 species